GCGUCCCGCCCACAGGCGACCCGAGCCGCCAGCCGGGCGUGAGUAAGUCUAGGGCCCAGUUUCCGGCUGCGCCAUUGCUGUGUGGGUCUUGGGACCUCGAGUUGGAGGACGCGGGAGGGUGGGGGCGGGGGCAGGGCAGCGCUGAGAUUUCCGGGGAGCGGCAGGUGAGGCCGCGCGGGGCGGGUGACGGCACCCGGGCGGGCUCCUUUCCAGGCUGGAGCCCGAGACUGCCACGUCCUGCGGGGACCAAGUGGUGGGCGAGGAGGCGUGGAGCGGCUUCAGGACUCGAGGAGCGGUUCCGAAGCAGCUAGGGACUUUUGCCUUUGCCCCCCGAGGUCGAUCGGAAGACAACCCCCAUCCCCUGCUGUAGCGGGACAGUUGGAGGGUCAUGGGUGGGUGAAGUGUUUGGCUGAGGGAAACUCAGACCAAAGAGCAGCGGCAAGAAAGCAGUUGGGUCCCCACAAAACGCCCGAAGUCAAGGUGAGGGUCACACAACGACUCUUGACGAUUCCGGCGAGUUCAUCCUGGUGCACAUCCCACUCCAUGCCUCUCUCUUCUGGUUGGACAAUAGUUACAUCCUUACGAAAAGGAGGCAAGCUACUGGGCCUUGGUGGAUCCACUCAACCUUGUUACCAAGGGACAUGCCGCCAUGCUAUGUGAAAAGGGGGGUUUUGUUGUUUGUUUUUAAUUUAAGUAUCUAAUUCGUUUCACGAAAGAAUGAUCAAUACCGGCCCAGAGUAAACUUGAUAAGUAAUUAAACUGUCAGGGCAUAGAGUUCCCAUAGAGGUGCUUGUUCUUUCAAUACACAAAUAAAGGGAUGCAAAAGUCAACAUGCAGAAAGGGUGAGUUAAUAUUGUCUUCUAAUCUACAGGAACUGAAAGAUUAGCUAAUCUGGUUUGGUUGGUGACCAAAUUUUGUGAUUGCUUGCACUGUUUGACUACCUCUGACAAAUGUUGCAAGACCUCUUCACUGAUUCUCCAAAGACUAUAGAAUGUUCUCUUUCAGGAGCAAGCUGCGACAUGUUUAACUAGUUUAGGUAAAACAACAAUAACUGUUAUUUACCAGGGAACAGGCUUUUGGCAGAUAAUCUAACGAUCUACGAUACUGUUCGUUGGGCAUAUGUUAAUGUUUGUAAUGUUGUAUUACCAGCAGUUGUUUUCUUACUCCUUUUUAUUUGAAAACCUGGAUGAUAGUUUCAAAGCCUAUGCUGCUUAGGCCUAGCCUGUACCUUAGUAGCCAGAAAAAGUAGACUCAGUCACUG
rnacentral:lncRNA from 1 species